rnacentral:hammerhead_ribozyme from 1 species
UUGAAGAUGAGGAGUCCAACAAUAGGACGAAACGGCCGUCCAA